rnacentral:rRNA from 1 species
UACGGGGGGGGUAAGCGUUGUUCGGAAUUACUGGGCGUAAAGGGCUCGUAGGUUGCCAACUAAGUCAGACGUGAAAUCCCUCGGCUUAACCGGGGAACUGCGUCUGAUACUGGAUGGCUUGAGUUCGGGAGGGGGAUGCGGAAUUCCAGGUGUAGCGGUGAAAUGCGUAGAUAUCUGGAGGAACACCGGUGGCGAAGGCGGCAUCCUGGACCGACACUGACACUGAGGAGCGAAAGCCAGGGGAGCAAACGGG